rnacentral:rRNA from 1 species
UACGUAGGGGGCAAGCGUUGUCCGGAAUCAUUGGGCGUAAAGCGCGCGUGGCGGCCCGAUAAGUCCGCUGUAAAAGUCAACGGCUCAACUGUUGAACGCCGGUGGAUACUGUCGGGCUAGAGUCCGGAAGAGGCAAGUGGAAUUCCUGGUGUAGCGGUGAAAUGCGCAGAUAUCAGGAAGAACACCCGUGGCGAAGGCGGCUCUCUGGGACGGUACUGACGCUGAGACGCGAAAGCGUGGGGAGCGAACAGG